rnacentral:misc_RNA from 1 species
CUUGGAUUAAACUUGGUUUCCAACAUAUAUAUAACUGAGCUUUGCCUUUCCUUUUGCUAUGUUAUGGCUUCUUUUUGGUUGAAAUACAGUGGCGAUUGCUAUGACGCUGACAUUAAUCCCAGCUCUAUGAGGCCUUAUAAUUAAGGUCUUGGAUUAAACUUUGUUUCCAACACAUAUAUCUGAGCUUCGCCUUCAUUUUCUCUACUGUUCUGAAUUCAAUACAAGAUUAUGUGUCAAUUUUUUGUUUGUUUUAUAUUUUGUUGGUUGUCUAAAAUCAGAGGCAAUUUUGCGAUGAUGAUACAUUUUUCCCAGCUCAUUAUGAGACCUUAUGUUGAAGG